UGAGCUUCAAAUUUCCACUUCACAUCCUUC
rnacentral:piRNA from 1 species